rnacentral:rRNA from 1 species
UACGUAGGGGCGAGCGUUGUCCGGAAUGACUGGGCGUAAAGGGCGCGUAGACGGCUGAUUAAGUCUGGAGUGAAAGUCCUGCUUUCAAGGUGGGAAGUGCUUUGGAGACUGGUUGGCUUGAGUGCGGAAGAGGUAAGUGGAAUUCCCAGUGUAGCGGUGAAAUGCGUAGAGAUUGGGAGGAACACCAGUGGCGAAGGCGACUUACUGGGCCGUAACUGACGUUGAUGCGCGAAAGCGUGGGGAGCGAACAGGAUUAGAUACCCCUGUAGUCCCU